rnacentral:ncRNA from 1 species
CUUCUUUUGAAAGUUGAGAUUAAAAGGGAAUCCGAUGAAAAUUCGGAACUGUUCCCGCAGCUGUAAGCUCCGAUAACCUUUUUGCAAAAUCCUUUGCCACUGUUGCGUUUGUUAGCGACGGGAAGGCCGCAAAAAGGGGAGUAAGUCAGAAGACCUGCCUAUAACGAA